rnacentral:rRNA from 1 species
AUUGAACGCUGGCGGCAGGCCUAACACAUGCAAGUCGAGCGAGCGGCGGACGGGUGAGUAAUGUAUGGGGACUGCCCGAUCGAGGGGGAUAACUACUGGAAACGGUAGCUAAUACCGCAUACUAUCGGAUAACCCAUAUGGGAUUAGCUAGUUGGUGGGGUAAAGGCUCACCAAGGCAACGAUCCGUAGCUGGUUCGAGAGGACGACCAGCCACACUGGGAAGGAGACAAGGCCCAGACUCCUACGGAGGCAGCAGGGGGGAAUUUUGGAAAAUGGGGGAAACCCUGAUCCAGCCAUCCCGCGUGUAUGAUGAAGGCCUUCGGGUUGUAAAGUACUUUUGGCAGAGAAGCGGUAUCUGCAGAAUAAGCACCGGCUAACUACGUGCCAGCAGCCGCGGUAAUAC